rnacentral:rRNA from 1 species
UACGGUGCUGAAGCAACAAAUGCCCUGCUUCCAGGAAAAGCCUCUAAGCAUCAGGUAACAUCAAAUCGUACCCCAAACCGACACAGGUGGUCAGGUAGAGAAUACCAAGGCGCUUGAGAGAACUCGGGUGAAGGAACUAGGCAAAAUGGUGCCGUAACUUCGGGAGAAGGCACGCUGACACGUAGGUGAAGUGAUUUACUCACGGAGCUGAAGUCAGUCGAAGAUACCAGCUGGCUGCAACUGUUUAUUAAAAACACAGCACUGUGCAAACACGAAAGUGGACGUAUACGGUGUGACGCCUGCCCGGUGCCGGAAGGUUAAUUGAUGGGGUCAGCGCAAGCGAAGCUCCUGAUCGAAGCCCCGGUAAACGGCGGCCGUAACUAUAACGGUCCUAAGGUAGCGAAAUUCCUUGUCGGGUAAGUUCCGACCUGCACGAAUGGCGUAAUGAUGGCCAGGCUGUCUCCACCCGAGACUCAGUGAAAUUGAACUCGCUGUGAAGAUGCAGUGUACCCGCGGCAAGACGGAAAGACCCCGUGAACCUUUACUAUAGCUUGACACUGAACAUUGAGCCUUGAUGUGUAGGAUAGGUGGGAGGCUUUGAAGCGUGGACGCCAGUCUGCGUGGAGCCGACCUUGAAAUACCACCCUUUAAUGUUUGAUGUUCUAACGUGGACCCGUAAUCCGGGUUGCGGACAGUGUCUGGUGGGUAGUUUGACUGGGGCGGUCUCCUCCUAAAGAGUAACGGAGGAGCACGAAGGUUGGCUAAUCCUGGUCGGACAUCAGGAGGUUAGUGCAAUGGCAUAAGCCAGCUUGACUGCGAGCGUGACGGCGCGAGCAGGUGCGAAAGCAGGUCAUAGUGAUCCGGUGGUUCUGAAUGGAAGGGCCAUCGCUCAACGGAUAAAAGGUACUCCGGGGAUAACAGGCUGAUACCGCCCAAGAGUUCAUAUCGACGGCGGUGUUUGGCACCUCGAUGUCGGCUCAUCACAUCCUGGGGCUGAAGUAGGUCCCAAGGGUAUGGCUGUUCGCCAUUUAAAGUGGUACGCGAGCUGGGUUUAGAACGUCGUGAGACAGUUCGGUCCCUAUCUGCCGUGGGCGCUGGAGAACUGAGGGGGGCUGCUCCUAGUACGAGAGGACCGGAGUGGACGCAUCACUGGUGUUCGGGUUGUCAUGCCAAUGGCACUGCCCGGUAGCUAAAUGCGGAAGAGAUAAGUGCUGAAAGCAUCUAAGCACGAAACUUGCCCCGAGAUGAGUUCUCCCUGAGACUUAAAGUCUCCUGAAGGAACGUUGAAGACGACGACGUUGAUAGGCCGGGUGUGUAAGCGCAGCGAUGCGUUGAGCUAACCG